rnacentral:rRNA from 2 species
GCGGAGGAAAAGAAACUAACAAGGAYUCCCCUAGUAACUGCGAGUGAAGCGGGAAAAGCUCAAAUUUGAAAUCUGGCAGUCUUUUUUUUCUUCUUUGGCUGUCCGAGUUGUAAUCUAGAGAAGUGCUUACCUGCACUGGACCAUGUAUAAGUCUCCUGGAAUGGAGCGUCACAGAGGGUGAGAAUCCCGUCUUUGACAUGGACUGCCAGUGUGUUGUGGUGUGCUCUCAAAGAGUCGAGUUGUUUGGGAAUGCAGCUCUAAAUGGGUGGUAAACUCCAUCUAAAGCUAAAUAUUGGCGAGAGACCGAUAGUGAACAAGUACCGUGAGGGAAAGAUGAAAAGGACUUUGGAAAGAGAGUUAAACAGUAUGUGAAAUUGUUGAAAGGGAAACGCUUGAAGUCAGUUAUGUUGGCUAGGGAUCAACCCAGCUGUUUUUUGCUGGGUGAAUUUCCUAGUCUGACAGGCCAACAUCAGUCUUGACUGCUGGAAAAGAGCAGAGGGAAUGUGGCACCUUUGGGUGUGUUAUAGCCUUUUGUCAUAUGUGGCAGUUGGGACUGAGGGAUGCAGCAUGCCGUGAGGCUGGGUUUCUGACCACGUUCAUGCUUAGGAUGUUGGCUUUUAAUGGCUUCAAUC